rnacentral:lncRNA from 1 species
CAGGGGGCGGUGUGCGCCCCCGGCGCUGGAGCAGCCGCGUUUCGGGGACCCGGGCAGGCGUGGGGGGCUGCGCUGAGCUCCAGGCCUCCUGCAGGUUUCUCCUUCUCGUCUUCCAAAGCUGUGCCUUAACUUCCUCGAAAGACAACAUCAGUGCUGGCGGGCCUCAAGAAGAGCCAUCCCAAGGUAUUGACUAGGCAUCAGCGUCUUCACCAGGGCAACACAGAACAUCCCUGCAGAGUUCCUGGUGGCUGCAGUGGCUGGUAGGGGAUGUAUGCCUGCUUUCCAUCAGAUUCCCAAAGCGGAGCCCCUGGAGGCUUUGGCCCAUGGCCCUGAAGCUCCCUUUCACAAGGAAGAAAGACUUUGCAAAGCCAACACCACUAUUGGAGAGAAAGUGGAGAAUGUGUAUUAGAAGUACUAGUCUUUGAAGGCAAAACAGCUGUAUAGAGUGAGCUUAAGUGCUGGAUCCCUGUGGUUAGGAAGGGACACUAAGCCUCCGGGAUGUGAGAGUCCCAUGGAAGGCAGUAGGCCCAGGAUAAAGCAGGUGUCAGCUCAGAAAGCCCACCAUCACCCAGAAAAGGGAAGAAAUACGCUACCACCAUCACUCUUUCUGCCAAUGACUUCUUUGCACACCUCCACCCUAUCUCCUGGCUCAGUCUCCCAUGUUCUCAUAGCUAGGGAGGUCUCCAUUGUAAUUUGUAUGGGGAGGUUAACCUAUAGGCCAUUCUGAUGAUCCCAGCUCCCUUUCACUACAACCCCCGUCUGCAUCCUUUGCUUUGCAGUAGGAUUUGAGAGAGGAAGGAUGAAGAUGUAGCCACAGGAUACAUUUAAACAGGCACAGAGUUUGAGGGGUGGGGGGGAACAAAAGCAAAACAAUAAAACCUUCACCAGUCAUUAAAGAAAUGAAAAUGAACCUUUUGAGAUUGUCAAUUUUUAUCUGCUAAGUCAAGAAAAGCUAAUUUAAUUCCUGGCAAUUUCACAAUAAAAAAAAUUGUGCUAGCUCUUGGUGGCAUUGUAAGUAGUUAAAGGCUUUUUGGGAAGUAAUUUGAAAUACAUCAAGUCUUGAAAAUGAUUAUACCAGUGGAUCCAAUCAUCUCGCUGGUGGAAAUUCAUCUGAAGGAAAUGAUUCAGUGGAAAAAACAACCCGUCUACACUUGUUGCACCUAAAUGUCCAGGAAUAAGGGAAUGACAGAAGAAAUCUCAGCACAUUCUCUGAAUGGAACAGAAACCGAGCGUUUGGAACUAGAAUUGCGCAGACUGAAUUGAAUAUGGAAGUGGCUUUAAAUGGCAUGUUAGGUGGAAACACUGGAUGUCUGGUUGAAAUUUGGUAAGACACACAUUCCCAUGGUCAGAAUCGGAAAAUUUCAACAAAUGAAAAUCAUGGGGUUCACAAAGAGGUGUUGUGGGUUAUAGAAAGCUAUUUUCAAAAAUUUCUUUAAUGAUUCAAAAUUGUUUUUCAAAAAAAGUAGAAGAUUUAGAAACAUGUAUUUUAGGAAGUAUGGCCCAUGGUGUCUAUUGGAAAAAAAGUGGAAGACCUGAUGCAUUGCCCAAGGGGAACUUCUAGCUUAAGAUUACACUGAUGAGGACUGGGAAACACUCAGGCACUUUCAGGCACGCUGAGUAACAGGGGUGUCCUUUUACACAGAGACAAGGUGCUCUGUGGUCCACCCUUUACUUGGAUCCCCAGAUCAGCAUUCUCAUCAGGCAGAAGUAACCAGAGGAGGAAACAGCAUUUCUUCAAAGCUGAAGAGAGCUUUUUGGAGGGGAAAAUAAAAAAUCCUAGGAACUCCUUGCAUGACUGAUGGUUUGAACAAUGGCUUUGCACCCCAAGACCAGCCUGGCCUCGUGGUUGUAAAUCUGGGGGCCGUUGACAAACGGUUUCCCACCUUGGGACUUGAGUCUGCAGUUCAAGAGUCACGUGGGCCUGCCUGAGCCGCAGGGCUUGGCCCCUGUGCUGAGCACAGGCUUCUAGAAGAAGGCUUACGGGAAAGGAAAUGCUCGGGUUUCACAUGAAGGAGGGUGUGUGUGGAGGGGGCAGGGCGGGAGCAGGAGGGAAAGAAUGGUCCCUUUCAACGCAGACAGAUGCAGUCUGGCUCAGAGUCAGCCCGGUCUCAAAAAAAACCCAAGUGGUCCAGUAACAUUUAAAAAUCUGCACACAUUCUCAGUUGUAUUUUAAAUACCGCACAAGGACAGACAAUAAAUGUGAUGGCUUUUCCAUCCCCUGCAUGUGGAGUGCCUGCCAUGUCCUGAAGCUCUCAGCAUACUGGCACAGGGAGACACAUGUACAUGCCCACGGUGGGUGUGUGUAAAUGCUACCUACAAACACGAGUGCACACCCACACACACCACUGCAGCACACAUACUUCCAUUCUCGCCUCAGAAAGCUCCAAGCCU